CUGCCCCCUUUUUUUGGCUUACCUUGAGCCAUGGGUCUUCGGAAACAACCUCUCUAUCUUCACAAGGUAGGGGUAAGGUAUGCGUACACACUACCCUCCCCAGACCCCACUUGUGGGAUUAUACUCGGUAUGUUGUUGUUAUUGUUGUCCAAUACAAAACCUCAAACCCAGUAAAUGAUGUUUCUUAUUAACAAUGAAUUGAGCAAAUUAAAACAAUGGGACGGUUCAAGCUUGUGAAUAAUCUUAACUAAAUUUCAGGAAAAAAAGUACAUUAACUAAAAAUUAUCAGCAAUCUUUUCAUGCUCUUUUGUGAACAUCCAAAUCAAAGACAGUUACCGAAUGCUUGUAGCAAAAUACUGUUGUCUCCACUAAAACUCAACCUAGAGAAUACAGUUUCUUGUCAUUCAAUAAAGUAGUCAAGAGUAAAGCAUCCUAACUACCAAAAAAUAAUUACAGAUAUGGAAGAAAAAGCAGACAAAGUGUGAUACGGCAUACAACAUCUCCCUGCUACAACUGAUAAUUGAAUUUCUUGGCCAAAGAGAAGUGCCAAAUCCCCUUGUCUAUGUCCUCCUUUCUAUACAUAUAUAGAUUUUAUAUUUACAACUUUAACCCUUCUUCUCACCGUAACUAUCAACAAGUAGAUUGAAUACCAAUUUCCAGCAAGCAAAAAAAAAUUUAUCCGUAAAAAGAAAGAGUAAUUCAAUAUACAUAUGAAGUGAAGCAUUCUGAAGUGAAGCAUCAUAAUUGACUUUUGAUCAACGAUAUUUUUCUGUCAACAAUAUCUAAGGAAAUCUAAGGAAGGCUUUUCGUUUUUAUUCCGGUGCAGAGGCCAUGACAGAUCACACAAGAUCAAGAACACAAAUGGAUCUAUAAGAAUUGCAUUCACUUGUGCACAAUUUGACGUGUGAUAUGGAGGAUUGGUUGGUAGUCGACAACUGCAGGUAUGAUCCUUCUAUCUUUACUAGUUCCUCGGCACGUGCGUUACACGUAUAUCUCGAGUCUGAUUAUUAAUACAAAGCUUUGAAUAAGUAACUUUACUUGAAAGAAUAAACUACAAGUUAUUAUAAUUAAUGUGGUCUUUAUAUGGUGGAUCGUUUGUCGAGAUCGAGAUGAUUGGAUAUCUAACCUACGAGGAUGAACAAUCAAAGUUUAAUUAGAUACAUGCUAUUGUUAUUACUUAUUUUGAUUUUAUGAGGUACGUAAUACUUCCUUAUAGAUGAUAUUCUUACUGUAUGUUCCUUUCAUCCGUUUCGGUCACUUUGUUAUGACUCUCAAGAAGCACCUAGCUCAAUUUUUUGUAUAUAAGACUAUUAAGUUCAGUUCUACUCCCACACACCAUCCUAGAAAGUUUGACUUGAUCUUCCGUAUAGACUUUUGCAUUUUUUUUGUUACUCUUCUUCAAUCCUCUUGCCAUAUUUUAACUUUAAGUAUAAGAGAUACUUCUUUGAUUUCUCUUCUUAUAGGUAAUUUCUUAUGAGGGCUAAGCGCAGCACAUAUAGAAGAAAGGGUGGUUGUUCUCUCGAUACCAAAACCUUGAUAGUAAUAAAACACAGUUCCACCCCUAAUUGAAUUGCAUUUUUGAAGUUUUUACAAAGGUAUAAAAUUUGAGUCUACGUCGGAAAGAGUGAAUCCUCACUUAAUAACCCCUUCCCACGAAUGGACUUUGGGGGAAGGUGAACAGGAACCAUAACAGAAUUAGGAAAGUCUUACCACUCAUCUUUGACCCUAUUUCUUACACGUGAAAAUUCUUUUUAAUUAAAUAAUUAUACAUCCGGGGAGGCUGAUCUCUAGUUAUACAUAACUUUUUUUAAACUCCGGUUAUGCAUACCUUGAUAUAUAUGAUGUUGGUAUUCUUAAAAAAAAAUUGUUUGAACUCUUAAGGAAGUAAAUAAUAGUAUAUGUAUUUCUCAAGCAAACUAUGCUCAUUUUUCAUUUAUGGACUAUACUUGGAAACAUUUAUCCCUUUAUACCAUCUUACUUUUGUCACAAUUCCUGUAAAUAUAGUAGUUGUACGUUACUCUUAAAUGUAUAAUUAUCUUUAAUUAUUUAUUUCUUUUGUUAGUUUAUUAAUAUUAAUGAGGUGACUUUUGGAGUUUCAAAAAUAUCACAUAAAUCAGAAAAGGGAAAAAAGCAAAAGAUCAAGGAAAAAAGAUCGAUAGAUAGGAGUUUUAGCUUUAGAGAAUGCCACAAUCCUUCGGAAAAAAGUUAGAAAUAGCCUGAUUUACAACUGCUACUUGAAAAUUAGCCACAGUUUCAAAAGUAAUCGAAAUUUUGCCACUUUUCAUGUAAAAAUAAAAUCUGAACAAAAAAAAACAAUUCUAGCAUAAUAUGCCCGAGUUCGAAUUUUUUACAUAUGAGAUUCCAGCAUAAUGUGUUGGAGUUCCAACAUAAUAUGAUGGAAGUUUAUAUGCAGGAGCUCCAUAAUCCAGCAUAUUAUGCUGGAACUUUUCGUAUUUCAGCUAGGGUAUUUUUGUCCAGAUUUUAUCUCCGCAUAAAAUAGUGGCUAUUUUUCAAUUACCAGCCCGAAAAUUGCUUGGCCCAUGCUAUUUUGACCAUUCCUUCAUCGUGUGGUUCAAUAAUCGUUAAACUAUCUUAAUAUCUCAUUAUGCUCGCAUAGAAAGUUUCUCUUUUCUUCAAUCUCGUGUAGCACAACUUCCACAUAUUCACAUAAAGAUAAAUUAAGAGAAUAUGAUACAAUAAAUACAAAUAUAUAACUUAAGAAUAAUGUUAAGACAUGCCUGAACAAUAAACAAAUUCAUAUGAACAACAGAGCAACACUAAGACCUUAUUAGAUAUAAUUUGGGGAAAAACUGAACUAUAUAUAACAUCUAAUAGAAAACGCAGUUUGAUACUUUCUUAACCAUUAAAAAAUAUAUGAAUGAAUAGAAACAUGAGAUUGUCCAGUGUUCCUCUCGGGGUUAGUGGCAAAGAAGACAAUGUAGACUAAAACAAAGGUACCAUUAAGUUCUUUUUGGACAUGAUUAUUAUUUUACCUGUGAUGGAAUCACGUGAUAUUUUUUCAUGGAGGAUUUUGCAAUGCUUUAGUCUCUAUUUGCAAAUCAUCUUUCUUAAGAGGACUUAGCGGUUUAAAGAGUAGAACAAACUUGGAAGUGAUAAGAAGGAGGAAAGAAAAUAGAGAUUGAGACUGAAAUUUGAGAGCUAUAUUCCAUUUUUUUUUUUAAUAAGACAAGAAGAUUUAAUUUGAGAUAAGUACAAAUUUUUGGUCUUUCUAAUUGAAGGAUAAUCUUUGUAAUUCAUUCCCACUUAAUUAUGAUCAUGAAAAGAGGAUAUACAUUAAGCCAAGUAUCUUAUGAAUUAUGCUCCAUGUUGAAAAAGUUAUUAUUAAAACCUUUAAUACAUUAAGCCAAGUAUCUUAUGAAUUAUGCUCCAUGUUGAAAAAAUUAUUAUUAAAACCUUUAAUUCAUACCAAUGGAUAACCUUUUCGGUGAGUUUCCUGUCGAUCACCUUAAGUUUGUAGUCCUACUGGAUCUAAUUAGCUUUAAAUAUUAACAAUGUAUAUACGAAAAAUAAACAAAUAAUACAAGAGUCAUCAACACAAACUUUCAGAGAAAAGAUAUCAUAACCGAUCACAGGAUUCACUUUGACAAUAAUGUUAUAUAUUGUCCCCUUAAAAAAAAAUAGGGCUAUAUAUUGUCGGCAUAUAUAACUAAUAAGCGUAGAGACUAAUGAAUACUUGCAAAAAGAGUAAAACUUGCGGCAACCAAUAGGAGAACCAUCAGAUCUGGCUGUUGAUGAAUGAGUAUAAGCAUUGGCUUGGGGGUGUUAUAGGUGUAUUUUUUUCCCGCGAAGAGAGUUUUCUGCCAAAAGUGCAUAUAAAGCGUUGUCUUUUCUCUCUUUUUAAAGCGCUGGCCUUGUUUCUUUUUUGAUUGAAGCGUUGGCUUAUCUAGUUAAUUUUAUUUCAUUAAGUAGUGUAAGGUUAUUUAGAAUAGUUAUUGGGUGUUUAAGCAGGGGUAUUAUGGUAUUUUAACUUUUUAAUUUAGGGCUUCCCACUUUUAAUAUAGUAUAGAUUAGUGUUCACCUACGAGCAAUAUCCAAUUUAGUUGGUAUUUACCUUUGAGCAAAAUCCAAUUUAAUAAGUUGUAAAAUUAUGUAUGCGAAUUUAUGAGAUACGGGAAGAUAGAGGAGGUGAAAGGGUAUAUAAUUGAUAUGAAAUUAUUGAAAUCUUCAAGAGGUGUCUUUUGGGGAGAGAAUUUAAGAUGUGCAUUUAAGAGGUGUCUUUUGGGGUUUUAAGAGGUGUAUAGCACAAAAUUGAAGAAAAUAGUGGGAAAAUCUAAAAAAUUGAGAUAAAAGAUAAAAGGCUUUCUUGGCUAUAGAGAGUGCCAAGUCACCUUUCCUAUGUCCUUCCUUUAUAUAGAUUUUCAAGCCUUGCUCAAGCCGUCUGAUGCAGCUUAUAGUUUGGUUUAAGAAGUUGAAUGUCUUCGGAUCAAAAGAAUGAAGUAUGUUUUAUUUCUUUUUGUUUUCUUUUUACAUUAAGUAGUAAUUUCUUAAAUCAAAUGCAGCAUAAAACUUCGCAAUGCUUACUACAAGAGCUGGUGUGAGAUGCUAGAUUUUGACAAUGAGGCAUCUUCCAAAAAAACAUAAUAUUGGCAUGUCAUCUGAUGAGGUUUAUCAUCCAAAAGAUUUUAUUGCAGCCUUGAGUUUAAAUGUGUUUCGACAGUAUGCCUUCCUUUUCCCAUACAUGCACUCUGGAAUUUCAAUCAUGCACGUACAAAAUGUAUGCCUCUAAAUAGAUUGCAAGUCCUUGGCCAUGGAAACAAGACUUUGAGAUCUAAAGCUCUAUCCAAGGUAGCUUGUUAAUAAGAUCCCGACUAGCACGAAGAUAAUUACGAAACAAUAGAGGGUCUCAACGCUGUUUCUUGUUGCUUUUGAAAAAUUGGAGUUCUUGUGUUUUUUUCCUUUUCUAAGUCUGUAUAGUAGGCUUUUCAAGAAGGGUUAUCUGGUUUCCUUUUCUUGGGAUGUAAUAGAUAUAAAUACUUGGUAGACUCGUUCUUGAGGAAAGACUUUGCAUAUUGUGAUUCCAAAAAUUGAACUUGGCAAUUACUUUCAAGUUUGAGUUCUUGAUGCCCGAAUCGUGAUGAGUGGUUUUUGAGUAGAUAAUAGUAAUGUUAUGACAAACGUUAGUUGACUUCUCGAAGCAAGGUAUAUUUCUUACUCAGUCGUACUUUUAUAGUUUUUCUCUAACUCAUGAGAGAUGAUAUAUGAUUAGACAAGACGUCGAGCUGCCGUACUUAGACUGUGUCUUAUUUGAGUUGCUUACCUAAAGGACAUGUUGAGUCCAUAGAGAAGUUUGUAAAGUUGGUCCUAAAAGCAAUAACUGAUAGCAAUACCUAUGUGUGGGCUACAAUUCGUACAAUUGGCCAAUUCUACAAGAAUUGGAUCCUGCGGUUGUAAGAGGGGUUUCAUGAGGAUCUCUUCUCUCUUUUGGUAAAAUUCUAGGAUGAUGUUGUCAAUCCCAAGUAGCAUUUCAACUAUACUGCUCCUUAGUUGCAAUUUCAGUUUAGAUUUCUUGGAACGACACUUGAGCUAGAUACCGAAGAAAUUAAUUGAGUUCCUAAAUGAGUGACAUUAUUAUGAUGAAGGAAGCUGCUUUGCUUACUUUUGCCUCGUUACAUGUAACUGAAUCUAUAUUUGUGAUACUACUACGAAUCUCAUUCUCCUUCUCGAUCCUGAUAGUGCAUGAUUACUUUGGAUGGUGGAAUAAUACUAUCCAAUUAUUAUGCAGACCAGGCGACUCAAAUCUUUUCAUAGCCAAGUUAUCUGAAUGCAGGAGAUCUAGCCAGGAACAUUUUUUUGCAGGCAUGAGCUAGACUUUGCGAUAGCUUGGGAUAGGCUCUUAAGUGCAUUGGCUUGUAAUGUGGUAUGUCGCUUUGUAGCUAAGUUUCAGGGUAGACUCUAUUCUUGGAUUGAUGAAGUUGUUAACACUUUAAGUUUUGAUCUCACCUUUAAAUUUGACCAAGAAGUAAAAAUAGUUGCCAUUUU
rnacentral:lncRNA from 1 species